rnacentral:rRNA from 1 species
GUGGAAACCGCAUUGCAGCAGAGUGAAGGACCCGACCUGUUCAGCCUAGUUUUCUAGGUGUACUCAGGGCGGUGCUCCGCCAGCCGUGAGCUCCUGGUGGCCAAUUUUUGCGCUGCUAGGGGUGGAGGGCUCCCUUUCGAGGUUGAGGACGUGCUGGAUAAUGCUGCGAUUCGACCCGUCUUGAAACACGGACCAAGGAGUGUAGCAUAUCUGCGAGUCAAAGGGUUUUGAAACCUGAGGGCGCAGUGAAAGCGACUGUAAAACACGCAGUUUGCGGCGGCAUACGAUCUUUGAUCGUAGGUCCGACCUAGAGCAGGUAUGCUGCGACCCGAAAGAUGGUGAACUAUACUUGAGUAGGGUGAAGCCAGGAGAAAUUCUGGUGGAAGCUCGUAGCGGUGCUGACGUGCAAAUCGCUCGUCAAACUUGAGUAUAGGGGCGAAAGACUAAUCGAACCAUCUGGUAGCUGGUUUCCUCCGAAGUUUCUCUCA